rnacentral:rRNA from 1 species
ACGGAAGGCAGCAGUGGGGAAUAUUGGGCAAUGGGGGGAACCCUGACCCAGCAACGCCGCGUGAAGGAAGAAGGCUUUCGGGUUGUAAACUUCUUUGACGAGGGACGAAACGAAUGACGGUACCUCGAAAACAAGCCACGGCUAACUACGUGCCAGCAGCCGCGGUAAUACGUAGGUGGCAAGCGUUAUCCGGAUUUACUGGGUGUAAAGGGCGCGUAGGCGGGGAUGCAAGUCAGAUGUGAAAUCCAUGGGCUUAACCCAUGAACUGCAUUUGAAACUGUAUUUCUUGAGUGUCGGAGAGGUAGACGGAAUUCCUAGUGUAGCGGUGAAAUGCGUAGAUAUUAGGAGGAACACCAGUGGCGAAGGCGGUCUACUGGACGAUAACUGACGCUGAGGCGCGAAAGCGUGGGGAGCAAACAGGAUUAGAUACCCUGGUA